GGGAUUAAAGGCGUACACCACCACCACCCGGCUCUCAAAUGUUUUUUUAAAAAGAAAUUUAUUCAGGAACUAAGUGGACGACUGCUCUAUAGAACUCCAUGCCUGUUUUCCAUAAUCAAUGUUCACUGACGAUCACUGUGUCACCCCAUUCUCUGCUGCCCACAGGCCUAGUUAUGUUCAUAUAAAUAUCCUGCUUCUCUCUUCUCCAGGCACAUGGUGCUCGGGCAUGUGUGCACACUUGCAGUCCAGGCUUCCUAGUCAGAUGGCUCCCUCUGCAGUUGCUCAGUGGGGGCUUCUGAUAGGAGGUCGAAGUUCUACAGAAAGAGAAAGGCAGGUGGUGCAUCUAUCUUCUCUAGUGGUGUUUCAGCAGCAGUGACGUUUUCUGAGUAACUCCAGCUCUUCCUUCGUGCCUGCACAUAGAUUCCAAUCCUUCCGGUUGACACCACUUCUGGGGUUCAGAGACAGAAGGAGAGACCUGUAAGUUGGAAGUCACGACCCCACUAAAGGCUUAAUACUUCUGCAUCUUCCAGAGUAAGUUCCCUUCUGUGGACUUGCUGUGACUCAGAGCUCGGCUCUUUCUGACCCUGCACCCACUACUCUUUGACCAAUUGCAGCAGUUCCUAAAGGCCUCAGGUCCCUUCAGUGACCAUUUCCCCUUUCUUUUUCUCUUUUCCCUUCCCUUCCCU
rnacentral:lncRNA from 1 species